rnacentral:rRNA from 1 species
CGGGUGAGUAACGCGUGGAAAACCUGCCGUAUACUGGGGGAUAACACUUAGAAAUAGGUGCUAAUACCGCAUAAGCGCACAGCUUCGCAUGAAGUGGUGUGAAAAACUCUGGUGGUAUACGAUGGUUCCGCGUCUGAUUAGCUUGUUGGCGGGGUAAUGGCUCACCAAGGCGACGAUCAGUAGCCGGCCUGAGAGGGUGAACGGCCACAUUGGGAUUGAGACACGGCCCAAACUCCUACGGAAGGCAGCAG